rnacentral:rRNA from 1 species
AACGCGAAGAACGUUACGUGACCUUGUCAUGGUCGGAAUCCUGGAGAGAUCUGGGAGUGCUCGAAAGAGAUCCGAUACACAGGUGCUGCAUGGCUGUCGUCAGCUCGUGUCGUGAGAUGUUGGGUUAAGUCCCGCAACGAGCGCAACCCUUGUCCUUAGUUGCUACGCAAGAGCACUCUAGGGAGACUUACGGUGACAAACCGGAGGAAGGUGGGGAUGACGUCAAGUCCUCAUGGCCCUUAUGGGUAGGGCUUCACACGUCAUACAAUGGUCGGAACAGAGGGUCGCCAACCCGCGAGGGGGAGCUAAUCCCAGAAAACCGAUGGUAGUCCGGCAUGCACUCACAACUCGAGUGCAUGAAUCUUUAAUCCCUUACCUCGCGGAUCAGCAU